UUAAUAAUAUUUCAAAGCAAAAGAUAUGUAACAUCUGGAAAAAUUAUGAGUGUCUAGAAGUGAUUAAUUGAUGGUGUCUAGAUGUAAUGGUGAUAGGCCUCUCAAAUAGGCUUAUAAAAUGAUAAGGGUGAACUUUGGUGUAAUAUAUGAUAGUACUGUUAUUUCCUCGGUAUGUAAUGGAAAAUUAACUAUUCACUUGGGAUAAACUGACUAUUCAUUUUCAAGUAUUAAGUCCUCACGAGGACUUUUCUCAAUGCCUUCAGUUUUCUCUUUCGUAGUUUAAUCACAAGUCUAUGCUGUUUUCUCCAACCUGGGCAUGCCCACACAGGUGAAGGCAACACUAUGCAGCUGUACUGGAGAGUGAGGAUUGGAAAUGGUAAAAAGUAACAAGGCAUAUUAUCCCAAUGGGAUGAGAUGGGAUUAGAUUCUGUUAGCUGACAUUGUACCAGUGCAGCAUUGUGCUAGGGGCACAAAAGACGGUUUCUGGGAGAGUAAGAAAGAAGGAGAGCUAAUAUUUUUUGGUUUAGACCAGUCAACCAUGAUCAUGAAAUACAGAGUCAUAUAGAGCUUUAGCUGCUGAAGUAUCAGCCAGUCCUGUAUGGGUUUAUCAAAGGUCUAAGAUUCUUGCAUAUUCCAUGUUUUACCCAGUUCGCCUCAGUACUACUCAUUCUUUCACACUCUGUAGUAGUCACUGAAGCUUCCUCGCUCUGGCUAUUUUUUGCUGUGGAAUUGUAUGUCCCAGGUUCACAAAAUACUGACCUUAACUGCUUAAAAACUUAAAAUUACAGUCACAUAGAUAUCCAUUAUGAGUACUUAUUGUAAAGAGAUCAUAUAGCUUUAAAAAAAAAAAAGUUCAUAGAGACAGCAAGGAUGACAUUUUUAACUGCAGACAAGGCAUGACAGUCAUUUUAAAACCUAAAUUUGAGAAAGUAGUCCCUCGUACCAGAGGAGUGUCAGUUGUCUUUGCAGCAGGCAAUUAACAUACGUGACUCUGGAAUCCUCUCUGGGUUUAUGUGAUAAAACACCAUGAGGUUGAUUGGACUGCUUUUCCUCUGAAAAUGUGGCUUCCCUUUGAUUCUGAGGAAAGUCCUGACUCUGUUUGAUUAUAAGGCCCUGCACAAAUCCUCACGAGAGGUAAGCAGAGGUCCCUGUACGUUGGGUCUGUCAUAAUUUUCUUAUAACAGCUCUGUUAAUGGAUAAAUCCUUGGAAGUCAGCUGUAAAGCUCAGCAGGUCCCCUCCUGAUAUCCUUCACAUUUGGAUAAUUAACUGAGCUGUUUGAACAACAGAAACUUUAUAAUGCUUACCAGUGGGGGUCUUGCAGCUGAUCAGCUUUACCUUCAUCAACACUUGUCAUUUUAACACUUGAAGGGUAAUGUUUCAGGAUGAAUAUAAUCUUCAGCAGGAAAAGAAAAGAUUUGAAAUGUACAGGAAAAUAAAGGCCUCAAUAAAUUUAUUAUGCAGACUGUAAUACUCCUUGUGCUGCGUUGCUUAUACACUCUGUGUUGCUCUCUAAGAAGGAUUUAGUCAACCUUGUAUCUGUACAAAGUAGGUUUUGCUUGAUUGCAAGGGAAAAACAAGUAACAAAUCCUCGUGGAAACCCAUCUUCGACACCCUGAGAAAUAGCAUGCAGGAAACCUUUGUGCUGAUCACAGCAGUCUUUUCCAGACAAAACUUAAUUUGUUUAGAAAAAGCAAAAUGAAAUAUGCCCUAGCUUCUUUGAUUUUGUUCAACUCACCUGAUAGUUAAAAAUGAGCCGAGUACUAAGCCUUUCCAUGGAGCGUAAAGCAGCAAAAUUGUCAGUGUCUGCUGAAGUUCAGGGCAAUAGGAUGCUGAAAUUUAAGAAUAUUUGGCAUUUAUUUAUUAUCCAACUGCCAUAAAGACUGUUUGAAAUUAAGAGGGGUUUGUAAAUUGUGGUGCAUUAUUUUAUGUUGUGAAAGAAGGUUGCAAUAGAUAACUAUUAAUUAUAGUGAAAUGUUUCUGUUUUGAUGUCUAAAAGUAACUGGAAUAAGAGAGAAGUUUUAAAAUAUAGUUAAAGCUACACAUGCAUAGCGGUUAGAUAUAUCUACUUUUCUUGAAGCAGUUUAACCUAGUUUUAAUGACCUAUAGUUGUACUACAAAACAAAUCUUCAAAGGUUUAUUCAUUAUUCUUAAGUUUCUGAAUUUAUGGAGGCCUAAAAAACAUAAAUAUAAUCUGACAGAAUAUUUUAAGUUAAAAAAAAAAUUCUCUCCAUCAAGUUCUUUAUAAUAUCCUAGUUACAAACUUUUCCGUGGAUGAAUUUGUAAGUAUAGGCAUUGGUUCCCAUGAGAUUCGUACUGCAGAGAUUAAGAUACACUAUACUCAGGUCAGAUUAAUGUUUGCCUUCUGAAGAGAAUUGUUAAGCAUUUGCUUUUCCUCUGCCCUAGCUCUAGCUUGGAUAAGAGCAAGCACAAUAAAUAUUUUGUUAUAUGAGAAUAACUGAUAGCAAAGAGGCUGUUUGUUGUUAUAAGCCAUUCUUCUUAGCACAAACCAGACUGCUUUCUGUAAGAUAAGUAGAAUGCCUUUUCAGUUAAAGAGGUGCCAGUUUCUCUAGGUCUUUACAUUCCUCUGAGAUGUGAACCUAUUCUCUUACAAUACAAGCAGUAUCUAGGCUUGUUAGCAUAGCCUCCCAUGAUAAUAUUUCUUUAUCCUAAUAAAAUGAAAGAAUAUGUAAUAUAAUAAGUCACUCUGCAACCAGGUUAACUUAAAUAUUUUAUUAAGACGGGGCCAUUAAACUGUAGCUGCAGUUAGAUAAAAGAAAAUUCAGUGUUAACCAUAUCGGGAUUUUCUCUGACACCUUUCUUAUAUUGCUUUACGUAUUUUUUGUAAUACUUAAGAAGUAUUUCCCUCAAGUGUCCAUGUUCUCUUUCUUAUAAAUGCUGUGUGCUAGAAUUGCCCCUGCAAUGCACAACUCUACAAACAAAAAAUUAAUAUACUAAAAGGCUUUAAUCACCUAGAAGAGCUCAGAUAAGCCAAUAUUAAAACACAUUUAUGCAUGAACAACUAAUAACUAAUAAUUGAAAGAAAUUACCUGCAACUCUAGAAAGCAUUUCUUAAUAGUUACUCAUUAAAAUAAAUUAUGGUAUAUUAUCCCAAUUACAAUGCUGAAAAUAGAACUUAGCAGCAGUUGUUCUGUAACUUUACCUUUCAUUUUAGCUUUUUAUGACAUUUGUGUUUUGAAAAUAAUUUCUUCUAAUCAGAUGGUGUUAUAUUUUACUAGCUAGUAGGUAUACUUCCUUGCAAGCUUAUCCUUUGAGAGGCACUGGGUUAAGCAUUAAAACUCACAUUUAUUAGACCUAAUUGAAUGUUAUAGGAGUGAACAUGAAGACUUGUUGCUGUUGUUCAAACAACACACAAAUCUAUAUAUUCUUAUGACUGCAUAACUAUUUACUGCCUUAUUUAUGAUAGGCCACACAGCAUUAUUCUAGAAAGCUAAUUUAAAAAAAAUGGCUUGAACCUAGAUGUAAGAUAAAUAGCAAAUGCUUUGUUAUUAUUACUGUGCAGGCUCUGCUCAUCCAGCGAACAUGGCUUUUGCAAGAACACCUAAAGCACUCACUAUUAACCUGCAUGGAACUUUUAAAAUGCUCUGUUGUCACUUACAUGCUCUAUGUAAAUGUUGCCUUUCCUGUAAGAUCAGCUAUUGGGAACCUGUGUUGACUUUUGGGGCUAAUAAUGUUUUCCUCUUUCAAUCCCAGCUUGAAAUGUUUGUUUUCCUUCAUCUGUUAAAAGAAUGUGUGGCAUACAAAUAAUUAAUGCUUUUCAAGGGAGGGAAAAGGAGAAAGGGAACUAAUCCAGUGCACACUUAAAAGGAAACUGGAAGUCAGAGACAUUUGGAUUAGGCCCAGGAAACAUAAAAGUUGUGAAAUAAUUUCUGUUUUCACUGAUGUUGUAAACUAGGAUCUAUCAUUUGUCCUGUUUCUCUUUCUCUGGAGGAGGCUGUACUAUAUAACCAAACGAGUAUUUUUUGUACAUUGAACUUUUGACACUUUGUAGAACAGAAUCUCUGUCUUUUUCCUUCUCAUUGUUUCUUUGACAGGUUCUUACAAUAGGAAGAAAAAACAUACCAUGAAUUCUCUGUCAUUUAAGUUAUCGCCUUCCAUCUAUAGUACUCUUUUACAGACUGAAAUUAUUACUGAGACUGAAAAGUGAAGAAGCCUGGAAAGAAAAGGAAGAGCCUGGAAAAAUACAGGCAAGAAAGGGACAGGAGAAAUGAUGGAAAAAUGAAAAGAGGAAUACACUAAGAAGCUGAGGUCAGAGAUGGAAUAGAAAGAACUGUUUUUCAUUACAUUUAAAGUUGUCAUUCACCUCCUGGGGAAAAUGGAAGUGUAAUGCCAGUUUAAUGGUGAAUUCUGCCUGUCAGCUAAAGCCUUCAUAUUAACUGCAUUUUCCUGGAGAACCAGACUCACGUUUUGGUAAACCUAGCAAUGGAAUGCAAACUUAUUGAUAAGCACAGAUGGACAUCUCACGAGAGGGACGACGAGAAACAAGCGACCAAGAAACUGACCAACUGUGUAUAAUAUUCCAUUCAUGUGAAUACUUCAUAUAAAAGUGGGAGAUCAUGAGGAUCUCGUCCCUUUGCCUUUCCCUUUUCCCUUCUGCUUAUGGCCGACAUUAGGAGAGGACCUUGCUAGUCGUCACUGCGAACUGAGGCCUAGUGAGAGAAUGAAUCCAGCUCCGGUUGGCUGCAGAGUCUAAUCCAUGACUCUGGUUGCCGGUUCUGCAGUUGCUGAGACUUUCAAGAUUGGUUUUGUAUAUUUUGAAUUAUUUUCUCUAUUCUUCUUAGUAGCAUUAGUAAAACAUUGUUAAUUUUUCCAA